GGACAGUGCCUGGUGGGUAGUUUGACUGGGGCGGUCUCCUCCCAAAGAGUAACGGAGGAGCACGAAGGUGGGCUAAUCACGGUUGGACAUCGUGAGGUUAGUGCAAUGGCAUAAGCCCGCUUAACUGCGAGAAUGACGGUUCGAGCAGGUGCGAAAGCAGGUCAUAGUGAUCCGGUGGUUCUGUAUGGAAGGGCCAUCGCUCAACGGAUAAAAGGUACUCCGGGGAUAACAGGCUGAUACCGCCCAAGAGUUCAUAUCGACGGCGGUGUUUGGCACCUCGAUGUCGGCUCAUCACAUCCUGGGGCUGAAGUCGGUCCCAAGGGUAUGGCUGUUCGCCAUUUAAAGUGGUACGCGAGCUGGGUUUAGAACGUCGUGAGACAGUUCGGUCCCUAUCUGCCGUGGGCGUUGGAAGAUUGAAGGGGGCUGCUCCUAGUACGAGAGGACCGGAGUGGACGAACCUCUGGUGUUCGGGUUGUGUCGCCAGACGCAUUGCCCGGUAGCUAAGUUCGGAAUUGAUAAGCGCUGAAAGCAUCUAAGCGCGAAGCGAGCCCUGAGAUGAGUCUUCCCUGACAGUUUAACUGUCCUAAAGGGUUGUUCGAGACUAGAACGUUGAUAGGCAGGGUGUGUAAGCGUUGUGAGGCGUUGAGCUAACCUGUACUAAUUGCCCGUGAGGCUUAACCAUACAACACCCAAGG
rnacentral:rRNA from 1 species